AAGCCAGUUGGUAUAAUAACUAAACCUACAUUAACAGUUAUUUAGGAAUCUUCAUGACACUCUAUGAAGGAAGUACUACUAUUGAAAAUUAAGGAAGUGAAAAUAUUAUGAAAUUAAAACUUCACAUAAAUUAUCUUAUUCCAUCCUCACAGGAACCCAAGCUUACUAAACUUAUUACUAGUUUUGAUAAAGCAAGAGAGGAACUGAGAGUCUAUAUAGUUUGCUGAAGCUUACAGCUCCUAUGUGAUGGUGUUGGGCCGAAAAUGCAGGUCUCCUGAUGGCAGCCCUUGGAACUUUGAAUUCCUUACGACCAUAUUUCAAAUCCCAGUAAAAUGUAGAUGUAGAUCCUCACACUCUAAUGAAAACCACAGGUUGGAUAUGUCAGCACUUCCAUACAACUGUGUCCCAGCUGGCUGGAUCUUUACUGAAGCAAAAAGAAACCUACAUUGUCCUACAUAUGGGGAAAGUAGAGUUGUACACGGCAGAUGUUUCAGGGAGUUCUCUUCAGAUUACCUGGAAAACAUAAAAAUAGGAAGUGAGAUUUCCAUCCCAUUAAGAUUAGCUGCCCUGAACUCUGUUUUCCACAGAAUCAAGGGGAGGUGUUACACAAAAUUCCAGCUUCGUCUCAGAAACUUGUUCCCAGCAUCUCUGUAAACAGUUGGAUCCAAGAAAAAAAAUUUGUUCUUUACUGGUAGGGCUAAUAUCAAGCUCACCCCAUAUAAAUGGGAAAGCUGAAGAUGAGAUCCUUUACAAGGAACAAAGCCUGACAGUACAUUCAUCUGAGUCCUGGCCCAAGCAUGCCUUCUUGCAGGAUGACUAGAGGAUGAUACAUUCAGCCACUGACCCUUCUGCCCAAGAGUAUCAGCCUGUGAGAAAUGAUGCUAGGGUUUAGACAAAGCCAUUUUUUGACAUUGUGCCCCUGUGGUUUCAGUCUUUAUAACGGCAUUGCCUUUAACAAUACAUUGUGAUGAGAAGAAAUCAUUUUUUCUGUCAGUCACUCAGCAGAGUGGUUUGGAGUGUACAUAAUUCAUUGUUUAUACGAAUUAUGAUUUUCUUUUUGUUACCAAUUUCUUAUAUUUAUACUUAUAUUUAUAGGUAUUUUGCAUGCAAGCAUUGCAUUUCUAUGUUUUUGACUUUUUAUUGAUUUUAGAAGAGAAAAUUGUUUUACUUGAAUAUAUCAAAUAUUCUAAAGAUUAAAAAAUGUAUCAAAUGCUCCCAAUUGUAUAAUUCAUUGUUACAUGCAUAUUACUUACAUGUAACAUUUAUUAGCUCCAAAACAUGAAUAAGCUAUAAGAUAGGUAACUCAAAUAUGCAAACAGGAAAUAAGGGAUAUAUAAAGGUCAAAAGUAGAUC
rnacentral:lncRNA from 1 species